rnacentral:rRNA from 1 species
GGGUUGUGAGGUUAAGCGACUAAGCGUACACGGUGGAUGCCCUGGCAGUCAGAGGCGAUGAAGGGCGUGCUAAUCUGCGAUAAGCGCCGGUAAGGUGAUAUGAACCGUUAUAACCGGCGAUACCCGAAUGGGGAAACCCAGUGUGACUCGUCACACUAUCAUUAACUGAAUCCAUAGGUUAAUGAGGCGAACCGGGGGAACUGAAACAUCUAAGUACCCCGAGGAAAAGAAAUCAACCGAGAUUCCCCCAGUAGCGGCGAGCGAACGGGGAGGAGCCCAGAGCCUGAAUCAGCAUGUGUGUUAGUGGAAGCGUCUGGAAAGGCGCGCGAUACAGGGUGACAGCCCCGUACACAAAAGCGCAUGUGCUGUGAGCUCGAUGAGUAGGGCGGGACACGUGGUAUCCUGUCUGAAUAUGGGGGGACCAUCCUCCAAGGCUAAAUACUCCUGACUGACCGAUAGUGAACCAGUACCGUGAGGGAAAGGCGAAAAGAACCCCGGCGAGGGGAGUGAAAAAGAACCUGAAACCGUGUACGUACAAGCAGUGGGAGCACAGGUUUACCUGUGUGACUGCGUACCUUUUGUAUAAUGGGUCAGCGACUUAUAUUCUGUAGCAAGGUUAACCGAAUAGGGGAGCCGGAGGGAAACCGAGUCUUAAUUGGGCGUUAAGUUGCAGGGUAUAGACCCGAAACCCGGUGAUCUAGCCAUGGGCAGGUUGAAGGUUGGGUAACACUAACUGGAGGACCGAACCGACUAAUGUUGAAAAAUUAGCGGAUGACCUGUGGCUGGGGGUGAAAGGCCAAUCAAACCGGGAGAUAGCUGGUUCUCCCCGAAAGCUAUUUAGGUAGCGCCUCGUGAACUCAUCUCCGGGGGUAGAGCACUGUUUCGGCUAGGGGGCCAUCCCGGCUUACCAACCCGAUGCAAACUGCGAAUACCGGAGAAUGUUAUCACGGGAGACACACGGCGGGUGCUAACGUCCGUCGUGAAGAGGGAAACAACCCAGACCGCCAGCUAAGGUCCCAAAGUCAUGGUUAAGUGGGAAACGAUGUGGGAAGGCCCAGACAGCCAGGAUGUUGGCUUAGAAGCAGCCAUCAUUUAAAGAAAGCGUAAUAGCUCACUGGUCGAGUCGGCCUGCGCGGAAGAUGUAACGGGGCUAAACCAUGCACCGAAGCUGCGGCAGCGACGCUUAUGCGUUGUUGGGUAGGGGAGCGUUCUGUAAGCCUGUGAAGGUGGCCUGUGAGGGUUGCUGGAGGUAUCAGAAGUGCGAAUGCUGACAUAAGUAACGAUAAAGCGGGUGAAAAGCCCGCUCGCCGGAAGACCAAGGGUUCCUGUCCAACGUUAAUCGGGGCAGGGUGAGUCGACCCCUAAGGCGAGGCCGAAAGGCGUAGUCGAUGGGAAACAGGUUAAUAUUCCUGUACUUGGUGUUACUGCGAAGGGGGGACGGAGAAGGCUAUGUUGGCCGGGCGACGGUUGUCCCGGUUUAAGCGUGUAGGCUGGUUUUCCAGGCAAAUCCGGAAAAUCAAGGCUGAGGCGUGAUGACGAGGCACUACGGUGCUGAAGCAACAAAUGCCCUGCUUCCAGGAAAAGCCUCUAAGCAUCAGGUAACACGAAAUCGUACCCCAAACCGACACAGGUGGUCAGGUAGAGAAUACCAAGGCGCUUGAGAGAACUCGGGUGAAGGAACUAGGCAAAAUGGUGCCGUAACUUCGGGAGAAGGCACGCUGACACGUAGGUGAAGUGAUUUACUCAUGGAGCUGAAGUCAGUCGAAGAUACCAGCUGGCUGCAACUGUUUAUUAAAAACACAGCACUGUGCAAACACGAAAGUGGACGUAUACGGUGUGACGCCUGCCCGGUGCCGGAAGGUUAAUUGAUGGGGUCAGCGCAAGCGAAGCUCCUGAUCGAAGCCCCGGUAAACGGCGGCCGUAACUAUAACGGUCCUAAGGUAGCGAAAUUCCUUGUCGGGUAAGUUCCGACCUGCACGAAUGGCGUAAUGAUGGCCAGGCUGUCUCCACCCGAGACUCAGUGAAAUUGAACUCGCUGUGAAGAUGCAGUGUACCCGCGGCAAGACGGAAAGACCCCGUGAACCUUUACUAUAGCUUGACACUGAACAUUGAGCCUUGAUGUGUAGGAUAGGUGGGAGGCUUUGAAGCGUGGACGCCAGUCUGCGUGGAGCCGACCUUGAAAUACCACCCUUUAAUGUUUGAUGUUCUAACGUGGACCCGUGAUCCGGGUUGCGGACAGUGUCUGGUGGGUAGUUUGACUGGGGCGGUCUCCUCCUAAAGAGUAACGGAGGAGCACGAAGGUUGGCUAAUCCUGGUCGGACAUCAGGAGGUUAGUGCAAUGGCAUAAGCCAGCUUGACUGCGAGCGUGACGGCGCGAGCAGGUGCGAAAGCAGGUCAUAGUGAUCCGGUGGUUCUGAAUGGAAGGGCCAUCGCUCAACGGAUAAAAGGUACUCCGGGGAUAACAGGCUGAUACCGCCCAAGAGUUCAUAUCGACGGCGGUGUUUGGCACCUCGAUGUCGGCUCAUCACAUCCUGGGGCUGAAGUAGGUCCCAAGGGUAUGGCUGUUCGCCAUUUAAAGUGGUACGCGAGCUGGGUUUAGAACGUCGUGAGACAGUUCGGUCCCUAUCUGCCGUGGGCGCUGGAGAACUGAGGGGGGCUGCUCCUAGUACGAGAGGACCGGAGUGGACGCAUCACUGGUGUUCGGGUUGUCAUGCCAAUGGCACUGCCCGGUAGCUAAAUGCGGAAGAGAUAAGUGCUGAAAGCAUCUAAGCACGAAACUUGCCCCGAGAUGAGUUCUCCCUGAGACUUAGAGUCUCCUGAAGGAACGUUGAAGACGACGACGUUGAUAGGCCGGGUGUGUAAGCGCAGCGAUGCGUUGAGCUAACCGGUACUAAUGAACCGUGAGGCUUAACCUUACAACGCCGAAG